rnacentral:rRNA from 1 species
UACGAAGGGGGCUAGCGUUGUUCGGAAUUACUGGGCGUAAAGCGCACGUAGGCGGGUUGUUAAGUCAGAGGUGAAAUCCCAAGGCUCAACCUUGGAACUGCCUUUGAUACUGGGGAUCUCGAGUUCGGGAGAGGUGAGUGGAACUGCGAGUGUAGAGGUGAAAUUCGUAGAUAUUCGCAAGAACACCAGUGGCGAAGGCGGCUCACUGGCCCGAUACUGACGCUGAGGUGCGAAAGCGUGGGGAGCGAACGGG